CACUCAAGCAGAGAAGAAAUCCACAAAGACUCACAGUCUGCUGGUGGGCAGAGAAGACAGAAACGACAUGAGCACAGCAGGAAAAGAAAGUUGUCUGACAGAAGUUUGAUGAGAGGAAUUUGACUCAGAAGACUGAAAUAUCCUUUAACCUUACUAUAAAAUAUCUUACAAAAUACUCAUUGAUUUCACAGCAUUAGAAUUAUCAAGGUUAAGCAAGACAUCAACAUGCAAAUUCUGAUUAAAAGGGGUCCAUUAUGAUACAAUUCAGGGAAUUUCCACAAAAAUCCUAUGGAACAGUAUCUUCCCCAUUUAAAAGUUAACAUGGUUUUACAGAAAAUCAAUGAUACAAUUUGAAUAAUAAUACAAUUUGAAUCACUUAGCACUAGGAAUACAGAUAUUUGGUUUUUUCUUCUAUAAAUUUGUACUUAUUUGCUCAAUGUGUUUACAGGUGCAUGUGGUCAUUCAAUAUAAUCAAUUGAUAUUUUUUAAUUGUUUAAUUACAUAAACCUGUGCAACUAUUUCCAGUCCUUUUUUUGUGUUAGGAGUGUACCACACUGUAAAAUAUCUCACUAUGAUAAUUCAAUUUAAAGGUUCUGAGGCUUCUCUCUGCAUUGUGUGACAAACAGGCUCAUAUCAAUAAGACUGGUUGAUGGAGCUAGAGGACGUUAUUCUAAGUAAAGUAACUCAUGAAUGGAACACCAAAUAUCCAAUGUUCUCACUUAAAAGUGGUAGCUAAACUAUGAGGACACAAAGGAUGAGAAUGAUAUAAUGGACUUUGGGGACCGAGGGAAAAGGGCAGUAGGAGGAAUAAGACAUAAAAGACUACAUAUUGGGUUCAGUCUACACUGCUUGUGUGAGGGGUGCACCAAAAUAUCAGAAAUCACCACUAAAGAACUUAUCCGUGUAACCAAAAACCACCUGCACCCCAAAAACUAUUGAAAUUAAAAAUUAAUCAAUGAAUAAAUUUUAAGAUAAAAAUAAUGCAUGUAAUUUACCCAGCACAGGUCACAAUGUGCCUGUCACAUCAUAAGCACCUCAUAAUAAGAAUCUUCCUACUAUUAGUACCUUCUGUCUAAGUAUUCUGAUAUUUAUUUUGGCAUUGACCAUGUUGAACACCCUACAAAGUUGAAAAUUUUGACAAAUAAAUAAUGAAAAUGAAUUGGCAGAAAAAUAAAUCUCAAUUGAAUUUUUAAAUUAUAUUUGCAAUUAUGUUGAUUCUUUCUAGAAAGGGCUCUGUGAAUUAUACAUGCUUUACCACAACGAAGAUGGGUUUUACAGUACACUGCCAAGCACUAGAAAUAUAUGCUGAACUUUAUUUUUAAGAACAUCUAUGGAUAAGCUCUGCUAAACAGAAAUCCAAACACACUGUUUCUCCAGUUUUAAAAUAUACACGCGUGGGUCUGAGUGUAUACACACACACACACGUGCACACACACACACACCACCAACUCUAAUCUCUAUAAUAUUUGGCUCAAAUCUAAGCUGAAAGAAGUCUCUACACAUAAAUUAGAUUACAAAACAGGCUGCCAAAGCUAAGUUUCAAAUGAGUAGGAAACAAGUAGCACACAGAAGUAGUGGAGAGAGAAAAUUAAAAGAGGACAAUAAGCAAAUAGGGAGAGAAAGAAAUGUCAUUGUGCGCAGGACGGUAAAUGUAUAAUUGCUCUUAUAGAGUCAGAUCCUUUUGGCCUAAGCAGAAAAUUGAGCAAUAAAGCAGUGUAUUUUAUGUAGACAGACACUGACUCUGUCAGCAAAAUAAAGGUGACUUCUAACUUCAUAUAUCAGCUAAUAGUUGUGGGUAGACGAGCAUUUUCAGGACGGCAUUAGGAAAUACCAGGAAUAAACACCUUCAGAGAAAAAACAACAACAACAUAAGAAUGGCCUAAAUAAAUAUAUUCCAUUUUUCUCAAUGUCUUAUUAUACUUUGUUUAUCUUUCCUUAUGUUAUUGCUUUUUAAAAGAUACUUUUAUUCUCUUUAUAAACCAGAGUACUUCAUUUCCAUGGAGCACUUGCUAGGUACCAGACAUGGGACGCAAUAUUACAUGUACAAAGAUGAAAAGACACAACUUAUGACUUCAAGAGUGGGAAAACACUGUCACCAUCUCUCUGUUUGAUUUUCUAGGUAAUCAAAUGCAAAGCAGCUGUGCUGUGGGAGGUAAAGAAACCCUUUUCCAUUGAGGAUGUGGAGGUUGCACCUCCUAAGGCUUAUGAAGUUCGCAUUAAGAUGGUGGCUGUAGGAAUCUGUCGCACAGAUGACCACGUGGUUAGUGGCAACCUGGUGACCCCUCUUCCUGCGAUUUUAGGCCAUGAGGCAGCCGGCAUCGUGGAGAGUGUUGGAGAAGGGGUGACUACAGUCAAACCAGGUGAUAAAGUCAUCCCGCUCUUUACUCCUCAGUGUGGAAAAUGCAGAGUUUGUAAAAACCCGGAGAGCAACUACUGCUUGAAAAAUGAUCUAGGCAAUCCUCGGGGGACCCUGCAGGAUGGCACCAGGAGGUUCACCUGCAGGGGGAAGCCCAUUCACCACUUCCUUGGCACCAGCACCUUCUCCCAGUACACGGUGGUGGAUGAGAAUGCAGUGGCCAAAAUUGAUGCAGCCUCGCCCCUGGAGAAAGUCUGCCUUAUUGGCUGUGGAUUCUCGACUGGUUAUGGGUCUGCAGUUAACGUUGCCAAGGUCACCCCAGGCUCUACCUGUGCUGUGUUUGGCCUGGGAGGGGUCGGCCUAUCUGCUGUUAUGGGCUGUAAAGCAGCUGGGGCAGCCAGAAUCAUUGCGGUGGACAUCAACAAGGACAAAUUUGCAAAGGCCAAAGAGUUGGGUGCCACUGAAUGCAUCAACCCUCAAGACUACAAGAAACCCAUCCAGGAGGUGCUAAAGGAAAUGACUGAUGGAGGUGUGGAUUUUUCGUUUGAAGUCAUCGGUCGGCUUGACACCAUGAUGGCUUCCCUGUUAUGUUGUCAUGAGGCAUGUGGCACAAGCGUCAUCGUAGGGGUACCUCCUGCUUCCCAGAACCUCUCAAUAAACCCUAUGCUGCUACUGACUGGACGCACCUGGAAGGGGGCUGUUUAUGGUGGCUUUAAGAGUAAAGAAGGUAUCCCAAAACUUGUGGCUGAUUUUAUGGCUAAGAAGUUUUCACUGGAUGCGUUAAUAACCCAUGUUUUACCUUUUGAAAAAAUAAAUGAAGGAUUUGACCUGCUUCACUCUGGGAAAAGUAUCCGUACCGUCCUGACGUUUUGAGGCAAUAGAGAUGCCUUCCCCUGUAGCAGUCUUCAGCCUCCUCUACCCUACAAGAUCUGGAGCAACAGCUAGGAAAUAUCAUUAAUUCUGCUCUUCAGAGAUGUUAUCAAUAAAUUACACAUGGGGGCUUUCCAAAGAAAUGGAAAUUGAUGGGAAAUUAUUUUUCAGGAAAAUUUAAAAUUCAAGUGAGAAGUAAAUAAAGUGUUGAACAUCAGCUGGGGAAUUGAAGCCAACAAACCUUCCUUCUUAACCAUUCUACUGUGUCACCUUUGCCAUUGAGGAAAAGUAUUCCUGUGACUUCUUGCAUUUUUGGUAUCUUCAUAAUCUUUAGUCAUUGAAUCCCAGUGGAGGGGACCCUUUUACUUGCCCUGAACAUACACAUGCUGGGCCAUUGUGAUUGAAGUCUUCUAACUCUGUCUCAGUUUUCACUGUCGACAUUUUCCUUUUUCUAAUAAAAUGUACCAAAUCCCUAGGGUAAAAGCUUGGGUAAGGUAAAGGAUAGACUCACAUUUACAAGUAGUGAAGGUCCAAGAGUUCUAAAUACAGGAAAUUUCUUAGGAACUCAAAUAAAAUGCCCCACAUUUUACUACAGUAAA
rnacentral:sRNA from 1 species